rnacentral:rRNA from 1 species
CAGGAUGAACGCUGGCGGCGUGCCUAAUACAUGCAAGUCGAGCGAACGGACGAGAAGCUUGCUUCUCUGAUGUUAGCGGCGGACGGGUGAGUAACACGUGGAUAACCUACCUAUAAGACUGGGAUAACUUCGGGAAACCGGAGCUAAUACCGGAUAAUAUUUUGAACCGCAUGGUUCAAAAGUGAAAGACGGUCUUGCUGUCACUUAUAGAUGGAUCCGCGCUGCAUUAGCUAGUUGGUAAGGUAACGGCUUACCAAGGCAACGAUGCAUAGCCGACCUGAGAGGGUGAUCGGCCACACUGGAACUGAGACACGGUCCAGACUCCUACGGGAGGCAGCAGUAGGGAAUCUUCCGCAAUGGGCGAAAGCCUGACGGAGCAACGCCGCGUGAGUGAUGAAGGUCUUCGGAUCGUAAAACUCUGUUAUUAGGGAAGAACAUAUGUGUAAGUAACUGUGCACAUCUUGACGGUACCUAAUCAGAAAGCCACGGCUAACUACGUGCCAGCAGCCGCGGUAAUACGUAGGUGGCAAGCGUUAUCCGGAAUUAUUGGGCGUAAAGCGCGCGUAGGCGGUUUUUUAAGUCUGAUGUGAAAGCCCACGGCUCAACCGUGGAGGGUCAUUGGAAACUGGAAAACUUGAGUGCAGAAGAGGAAAGUGGAAUUCCAUGUGUAGCGGUGAAAUGCGCAGAGAUAUGGAGGAACACCAGUGGCGAAGGCGACUUUCUGGUCUGUAACUGACGCUGAUGUGCGAAAGCGUGGGGAUCAAACAGGAUUAGAUACCCUGGUAGUCCACGCCGUAAACGAUGAGUGCUAAGUGUUAGGGGGUUUCCGCCCCUUAGUGCUGCAGCUAACGCAUUAAGCACUCCGCCUGGGGAGUACGACCGCAAGGUUGAAACUCAAAGGAAUUGACGGGGACCCGCACAAGCGGUGGAGCAUGUGGUUUAAUUCGAAGCAACGCGAAGAACCUUACCAAAUCUUGACAUCCUUUGACAACUCUAGAGAUAGAGCCUUCCCCUUCGGGGGACAAAGUGACAGGUGGUGCAUGGUUGUCGUCAGCUCGUGUCGUGAGAUGUUGGGUUAAGUCCCGCAACGAGCGCAACCCUUAAGCUUAGUUGCCAUCAUUAAGUUGGGCACUCUAAGUUGACUGCCGGUGACAAACCGGAGGAAGGUGGGGAUGACGUCAAAUCAUCAUGCCCCUUAUGAUUUGGGCUACACACGUGCUACAAUGGACAAUACAAAGGGCAGCGAAACCGCGAGGUCAAGCAAAUCCCAUAAAGUUGUUCUCAGUUCGGAUUGUAGUCUGCAACUCGACUACAUGAAGCUGGAAUCGCUAGUAAUCGUAGAUCAGCAUGCUACGGUGAAUACGUUCCCGGGUCUUGUACACACCGCCCGUCACACCACGAGAGUUUGUAACACCCGAAGCCGGUGGAGUAACCUUUUAGGAGCUAGCCGUCGAAGGUGGGACAAAUGAUUGGGGUGAAGUCGUAACAAGGUAGCCGUAUCGGAAGGUGCGGCUGGAUCACCUCCUUUCUAA